GCCGAAUGAACUAGCCCUGAAAAUGGAUGGCGCUCAAGCGUGUUACCCAUACCUCGCCGUCAGCGUUAAUGUGAUGCGCUGACGAGUAGGCAGGCGUGGAGAUUUGUGAAGAAGCCUUGGCAGUGAUGCUGGGUGAAACGGCCUCUAGUGCAGAUCUUGGUGGUAGUAGCAAAUACUCAAAUGAGAACUUUGAGGACUGAAGUGGGGAAAGGUUCCGUGUGAACAGCAGUUGGACACGGGUCAAUCGAUCCUAAGAGAUAGGGUAAUUCCGUUUUAAUGUCGGCGCUUGCGCCGCGCCCUCGAAAGGGAAACCAGUUAAAAUUCUGGUAUCUG
rnacentral:rRNA from 1 species